AUUGAACGCUGGCGGCAGGCCUAACACAUGCAAGUCGAACGAGUGGCGGACGGGUGAGUAAUGUCUGGGAAACUUCCUUAUGGAGGGGGAUCACUACUGGAAACGGUAGCUAACACCGCAUACACUCAGGUGUGCCCAUAUGGGAUUAGCUUGUUGGUGGGGUAACGGCUCCACAAGGCGACGAUCCCUAGCUGGUCUGAGAGGAUGACCAGCCACACUGGAACUGAGACACGGUCAAGACGCCUACGUGAGGCAGCAGUGGGGAAUAUUGCACAAUGGGCGCAAGCCUGAUGCAGCCAUGCCGCGUGUAUGAAGAAGGCCUUCGGGUUGUAAAGUACUUUCAGCGGGGAGGCGUUACCCGCAGAAGAAGCACCGGCUAACUCCGUGCCAGCAGCCGCGGUAAUUC
rnacentral:rRNA from 1 species